rnacentral:lncRNA from 1 species
AUUUUGGGGUUUUCAGGGGGUCUCUAUGGGGUUUUGGGGUUUCCAUGGGGACUCAAUAGGGUUUUGGGGUUUUUAUAGGGUCUCUAUAGGAUUUUGGGGUUUUCAGGGGGUUUCUAUAGGAUUUUGGGGUUUUCAGGGGGUUUCUAUGGGAUUUUGGGGUUUCCAUAGGAUCUUAGGAUUUGGGGAUUUCCAUAGGAUCGUAAUAGGAUUUUGGGUUUUUUUUAUAGGAUCUCUAUAGGAUUUUGAGGUUUUCAUAGGGUUUCUAUGGGAUUUUGGGUUUUCCAUAGGGUUUCUAUGGGAUUUUGGGGUUUCCAUAGGAUCGUAAUAGGAUUUUUGGGUUUCUAUAGGAUCUCUAUAGGAUUUUUGGGAUUUUCAUAGGAUCUCUAUAGGAUUUUGAGCUUUUCAUGGGAUUUCUAUAGGAUUUUGGGGUUUCCAUAGGAUUUCUAUAGGAUUUUUGGGUUUCCAUAGGACCUCUAUAGGAUUUUGGGGUUUCCAUAGGAUCUCUAUAGGAUUUGGGGGUUUUCAUAGGAUUUCUAUAGGAUUUUGGGGUUUUCAUGGGCUUUCUAUGGGAUUUUGGGGUUUCCAUAGGAUCUUAGGAUUUUGGGAUUUCCAUAAGAUCUUAAUAGGAUUUUAGGAUUUCUAUAGGAUUUUGGGGUUUCCAUAGGAUUUCUAUAGGAUUUUUGGGAUUUUCAUAGGAUUUCUAUAGGAUUUUUGGGAUUUUCAUGGGAUUUCUAUAGGAUUUUGGGGUUUCCGGGGGUCCCGAAGGCAUUUUGGGGUCGCCACUCACCCUAUAAAGCAGUGGGCGGCCGUCAGCACCCAGCUCUCGGCCACCAGGGCCCCCCCGCAGCGGUGGCGUCCCCCAAAAACCAGGCUGACGUACCAGGGCCACCCCGACCCCCGGGGGGGCUCCAGGGGGGGCCCCCCCCUGCAUCCCACAACCUGUAGGGUCGGGAGAGGAAAUAGGGUCAGGGGGGUGGAUAAUAGGGUCAGCCCCUACGAGGGGUUUUGGGGGGGGUUGGGGUGGCCCCGUGGUGUUUUUUGGGGAGGAAUGGGGGGAAAAAAUGGGGUUUUGGGGGGGGUUUAUGGGGUUUUGGGGUUUCUGGGGGGGGGUUAAUAGGGUUUGGGGUGGGUUUGGGGUGGGUUUGGGGUGGGCCCGCCCUAUUAUUGGGGGGGAAACAAGGGGGUUAUAGGGUUUUGGGGUUCCCCAUGGGGUCUCAGUGGGGUUUUGGGGUUUCUGG